AAAACAAAAAAAAGCCCUUGUAUACUCGGCAGUACAUAUACGUAUGUACUACUUAAAAGAAUGGAAACUUUGAACACGACCAAAAUCCCACUAAGUUAGCCAGGUCUCUCCAUGCUCUCCAUGUUCUGCGGGCUCACCGACAGGGUUCAGCUGCACCAGGUGUGCCCGUGCCCGGGUGGUUUCAACCUUUCGUUUUCCAGCCCCGAAACCGGAAUCUACGAUUGAAUUUCAGACAGUAUACCCAGACACCCAACCACCCAAAUGCCAUCCGGCGGCCAAGGAAAACGCAGAGGCUUUUGCAAUUUUUAUGUGCAAUUUUUUACAUGAGAACCAAAGGCGGUACGAAGUGUCGCUUGUGGCUCGUUAAGGUUAAGGGGUGGAGGGUGUUCUUUAUCUGGAGAGGUGUGGGCUAGCUGUUGGAAUACCACUGAUAACCGAGGAGUGGAUUAGUCUCUGGUUAUCGUUUGCAGCGGGUACAUGGCACCCAUUUAACAAAGAUUAACGAUAAUUAUUUUAUAGAAAAAUGUAAGAUGCCUUCUCUAGGGAGAAAUCAACCAGUGAUAGUCAACAAUUUAAAACCGUCAAAACACAUAUGUAUAUGGCAAAGUUAAAUAGGGUCUACGCCCCACGUUGAGCGCCAAA
rnacentral:sRNA from 1 species